CCAGGAUUUUGGUCACAAAGGAAUCUUACUAUGACGCAUUAUAGCUUAUGAGCAAAGAAGCUGUCAGAACAAGAGCAUUCUUGGGGGUCGGCUCCGUGGCCGAGUGGUUAAGUUCGCAUGCUCUGCUGCGGCGGCCCAGGGUUCGGAUCCUGGGCAUGGACAUGGCGCUGCACGUCGUCAGGCCACAUUGAGCAUCUCAUCCUCCUCUAACCUCCCCCUUCCCUUUCACUAUCUCGCCAGUCUAAGGAGGUUCUGAUACAAUAAGUGGAGUAUUGAGGCAAUUAUUCAGAUAAUUCGGGUUCAAAAAAUAGCACACAACACUGUUGACUGAUUUUAUUAUUUCUCACAAUAUCGAUUUUGUUGACCUCAGUAACCUUAAUAAGUGUACACUUGGCCUUGAAAUUCACAUACGACAGCUUCCAGUGAUUAUCAAACAAAAGAUGAAAUUUUAAAGUCUUUUGGAGCGCUCUGUUUCUUUUUUGUCCUACAGCAUGAAAGCCAGGUUUUAUUUUCAUGACCACGUCAAUCAAUGAGUUUCAGACAACACGAUUUGGAAAACACAGGGGCAGAAUGAAAAUUAUUUUUGAAGCUCUUACCCUUUCUAGACCAUGAAGAAUUUCUCGAUCUGAGACUGAUCGACAUUAUAACAGAAGAGACAUUUGUGAAAGCUAACGAUAACAUCAGGACAGGCUUGGAAGUGGGGUACAUCAGUGAUUGUCUGUGACAAUAAAAAGAGCUUGCACCGGAAUACAGAUCUGAACACUGCUUCCUUCAAGAAAUUUGUUUAUGAAAAAGUCAGUUCUGACUUUAAUUCUGACAUUUAAAAAGCUUGGACAUCACUCCCAUCUUUAAAACAAGAAAAAGGCUGAACAGUCUGAAAAAUGAACAACUUUUCUUGGGCCUGUCAGAGAACUGGGGUUGCAGGGCAAAGUGGCACUCCAAAAAUCUGUAGAGAUAAGUGAAUCUAGAGAGGCCCAGCUAGCAUCUGCUUCCUGGGAAUGGAAGCCAGUGGAGAUGUAAACCGGUAGGAAAAUUUAAGCGGUAGUUUUGACAAAUUACUGAAAGCUGAGUGUGAACUAGUGAGAGAGGAAGAAACUCCUGGGGCUACAGUCUUAUGGGGACUCCCAUACUUUUGUGGGUUUACCUCCAGGAAAUAGCUCUUUGUGGCUGUGGGUGGGUGGCAAUAGGGUAGUGGUGGUGUGAGUAAUCCCUGUAAAAUAAGGCCAGAGUGUUCCCCAUAACAAAGGCCUCCUUCUCAAGGGAAAAGUCUCUGCCUGAGCCUUAGGCUAGCUUGAAGAAUGGCUUUCAUCACAAUUUAGCCCCCAGUAGUCUUCUUCUCUCGCCAAAGAGGGGAAUAAAAGCUGUACAACUGGAAAAAUACUUAAUGAAGCUCACAGCCCUUAUACACAAGCCCACUAAAGACUGAGAUUUAAUCAUAAGAUUAUAGAAUGCUCUCCCUCUCUGUUACUACCUUACCAUCACACCAACAAGGCUCGAGUAUAAUACAAGUGGAUUUGAAAUGGAAAGGUGCAAGACAGACUGUCACUGAGGAGAAAUACUUAGAGAAUUCCAAGUCAGGAAAGACAUAAGCAAGGACACUAAAAAAUUUGAACCCUCUGGCAACUACAGCUACAAAACACUUUAAACACCGCCAACUUUUAGCCAAAUUUGCAUAAAGACUAACAGUAAAAGGCUUAUUUUCCUCUGUUCUUAUUACCUAAUACAGGGUGUCUGGCUUUCAACAAAAAAUUAGAAUUUUUCCAAAAGGCAAGAACACACAAUCUGAAAAGACAACAAACAUCAAAACCAGACUGAAAUAUGAUAGACAUGUUGGAUUUUUCAGACAGGGAAUUGAAAAUUACUAUUGAUAUGUUAAGAGCUCUAAUGGAGAAAAGAAGAAAACAUGCAAGGACAGCUGAAUAUAGUAAGCAGAGAGAGAGAAAUUCUAAGAAAAUCAAAAGGAAAUAUUAAAUCUAAAGCACUAAUACAAAGGAAGAUGCCUUGAUAGACUCAUCAGUAGACUGGACAUUCCUAAGGAAAGAAUCCUAAGGAAAGAAUCAUCCUGAAGAUAGGUCAAAAAAUUUUUCUAAACUUAAAUGCAAAGAGAAACAAGUACGAGGGGAAAAAAAAAAGACUAGAGCAUCCAAGAAUGUCAGACAAAUUCAAAAGAUUUUGAAUAUAUAUAUAUAUAUAUCUGGAAUACCAGAAUGAGAAGAAAGAAAGAACUUAGCAGAAGAAAUAUUUGAAGCAACAAUGGCUCAGAACUUUCCAAAAUUAGUAACAAACACCAAACAACAAAUUCAAGAAGUUUAGAGAACACCAAGCAGGAUGAAUACCAACACAAUACAUGUAGGCAUACUACAGUCAAACAGCAGAAGACAACAAAGAGAAAAAUCUUGAAGGAUGACAAAGGAUGGAAGGAACUUACCUAUAGAACAAAGGGUAAGGGUAUGGUAGACUUCUCAUUAGAAAUCAUCUAGGUGAAGAGAAUAGAGUGAACUAUUUAAAAUGUUUAAAGAAAAGAAACAACCAACCUAGAUUUUAUAUCCAAUUAAAUCGUCCUUCAAAAGAGAAAGAAAAAUAAGAUUUUUCAGACAAAUAGAAAAUGAAAGAAUUCAUUGCUAGCCAAUCUGCCCUGCAAAAAAAAUGUUCAAAGAAGUUCUUCAGGGAGAAGAAAAAGGAUACAGCUUAGAAACUUGGAUCUACAUAAAGGAAGAAUGUCAGAGAAGGAA
ensembl:lncRNA